GACGAACGCUGGCGGCGUGCUUAACACAUGCAAGUCGAACGAUGACGACCGAGCUUGCUCGGUCUGAUUAGUGGCGAACGGGUGAGUAACACGUGAGCAACCUGCCCUUCACUCUGGGAUAACCUCGGGAAAUCGGGGCUAAUACCGGAUAUGAGCUCCUGUCGCAUGGCGGGUGUUGGAAAGUUUUUCGGUGAAGGAUGGGCUCGCGGCCUAUCAGUUUGUUGGUGAGGUAGUGGCUCACCAAGGCGAUGACGGGUAGCCGGCCUGAGAGGGCGACCGGCCACACUGGGACUGAGACACGGCCCAGACUCCUACGGGAGGCAGCAGUGGGGAAUAUUGCACAAUGGGCGAAAGCCUGAUGCAGCGACGCCGCGUGAGGGAUGACGGCCUUCGGGUUGUAAACCUCUUUCAGCAGGGAAGAAGCGGAAGUGACGGUACCUGCAGAAGAAGCGCCGGCUAACUACGUG
rnacentral:rRNA from 1 species